AGAGUUUGAUCCUGGCUCAGGACGAACGCUGGCGGCGUGCUUAACACAUGCAAGUCGAACGAUGAACCACUUCGGUGGGGAUUAGUGGCGAACGGGUGAGUAACACGUGGGCAAUCUGCCCUGCACUCUGGGACAAGCCCUGGAAACGGGGUCUAAUACCGGAUACUGAUCCUCGCAGGCAUCUGCGAGGUUCGAAAGCUCCGGCGGUGCAGGAUGAGCCCGCGGCCUAUCAGCUAGUUGGUGAGGUAACGGCUCACCAAGGCGACGACGGGUAGCCGGCCUGAGAGGGCGACCGGCCACACUGGGACUGAGACACGGCCCAGACUCCUACGGGAGGCAGCAGUGGGGAAUAUUGCACGAUGGGCGAAAGCCUGAUGCAGCGACGCCGCGUGAGGGAUGACGGCCUUCGGGUUGUAAACCUCUUUCAGCAGGGAAGAAGCGAAAGUGACGGUACCUGCAGAAGAAGCGCCGGCUAACUACGUGCCAGCAGCCGCGGUAAUACGUAGGGCGCAAGCGUUGUCCGGAAUUAUUGGGCGUAAAGAGCUCGUAGGCGGCUUGUCACGUCGGUUGUGAAAGCCCGGGGCUUAACCCCGGGUCUGCAGUCGAUACGGGCAGGCUAGAGUUCGGUAGGGGAGAUCGGAAUUCCUGGUGUAGCGGUGAAAUGCGCAGAUAUCAGGAGGAACACCGGUGGCGAAGGCGGAUCUCUGGGCCGAUACUGACGCUGAGGAGCGAAAGCGUGGGGAGCGAACAGGAUUAGAUACCCUGGUAGUCCACGCCGUAAACGGUGGGCACUAGGUGUGGGCAACAUUCCACGUUGUCCGUGCCGCAGCUAACGCAUUAAGUGCCCCGCCUGGGGAGUACGGGCCGCAAGGCUAAAACUCAAAUGAAUUGACGG
rnacentral:rRNA from 1 species